GGUGAACGCUGGCGGCAGGCCUAAUACAUGCAAGUCGAACGGCAGCACAGCAGAGCUUGCUCUGUGGGUGGCGAGUGGCGGACGGGUGAGGAAUACGUGGGAAUCUGCCCAGUCGUGGGGGAUAACGUAGGGAAACUUACGCUAAUACCGCAUGCGCCCUUCGGGGGAAAGCCGGGGGACCUUCGGGCCUGGCGCGAUUGGAUGAGCCCACGUCGGAUUAGCUAGUUGGCGGGGUAAAGGCCCACCAAGGCGACGAUCCGUAGCUGGUCUGAGAGGAUGAUCAGCCACACUGGAACUGAGACACGGUCCAGACUCCUACGGGAGGCAGCAGUAGGGAAUAUUGGACAAUGGGCGCAAGCCUGAUCCAGCCAUGCCGCGUGAGUGAAGAAGGCCCUCGGGUUGUAAAGCUCUUUUGUCCGGAAAGAAAAGCGCCGGGUUAAUACCCUGGUGUCCUGACGGUACCGGAAGAAUAAGCACCGGCUAACUUCGUGCCAGCAGCCGCGGUAAU
rnacentral:rRNA from 1 species